GCCAGGCAUGGUGGCUCACACCUACCAUCCCAGCUACUCAGGGGGCUGAGGUGGGAGGAUCACUUGAGCCCAGGAGUUCUGGGCUGCAGUGUACUAUGCAGAUAGAUCAGGUGUCUGCACUAAGUUUGGCAUCAAUAUGGUGAUCUCCUGGGAGUGGGGAACCACCAGGUUGCCUAAGGAGGGGUAAACUGACUUAGGUUGGAAAUGGAGCAGGAUAAAACUCCCGUGCUGAUUGGUAAUGAGAUCACAUCUGUGAAUAGCCACUGUACCCCAGCCUGGGCAACAAAGCAAGACCUCAUCU
rnacentral:SRP_RNA from 10 species